CCGAAUGCUCUUAGAAUUUUUUCUAGUAGGUUUUCUGGCUUUGUUCAGGAAACCAAG
rnacentral:snRNA from 1 species